AUCUGUAGUUUUUUAGAAGAUCCUUGACCAGAUCCUAAUAUAAUAGUAAGCCAAUAGUUAAUCAACAAAAAGCUCUUGAACUUGAGAUUCAAAAUCCGGAGACAAUAUUCAAAAUUUGUUGAAGAAACUGUAUUAAUUAGUAUCUUAGAUAAGCACUAUUUUAGUGUUGAAACUUAGUACCAAGGUUAUAGAACACUUUGACUUUCUUUUAUUCUACAAAUCAAAGUAGACUAGCAAUUAUCAGUCUGAGUCCUCACAGCUUGUCUUCCUUUUCCGAAUAUAUUUAUUCCUUGAACUAAACUAUGAUUUGUCACGUAUUGGAUUGGUCGGUGGACCUGCUUACCCACCUCGUACACUGGAUUAUUUGGCACUUGUGCAAGUUACUGGUAAUACAGGCUUUUGCCCUUCUGAUAGUACUUGCCUACAAGAUGGUUUGGCGCCGCGUGGUCGCCUCUUCUCCAGAGGAGUCCUACUGGAAUCCGGGACGUAAAGCCCCCAAAUCUAUGCCGGAACCGUCACCCGAAGUUGUAUCGGACAACAAAUGAAGCACAGAGGAGCACGGAGGCAAUCGGAGUCACACGCUGGAAACUUUCUAUUUUGAUAGAUUGUUGAAUUACAGUUGAUUCUUUAAAUAAACUUCAAUUCGAUUCCGA